rnacentral:rRNA from 1 species
GGAUAACUACCCUUUAGGACCGGGAUAACCCUGGGAAACUGGGGAUAAUACUGGAUAGGCAAUUUUUCCUGUAAUGGUUUUUUGUUUAAAUGUUUUUUCGCCUAAGGAUGGGUCUGCGGCCGAUUAGGUAGUUGGUUAGGUAAUGGCUUACCAAGCCGUUGAUCGGUACGGGUUGUGAGAGCAAGAGCCCGGAGAUGGAACCUGAGACAAGGUUCCAGGCCCUACGGGGUGCAGCAGGCGCGAAACCUCCGCAAUGUGAGAAAUCGCGACGGGGGGAUCCCAAGUGCCAUUCUUAACGGGAUGGCUUUUCAUUAGUGUAAAGAGCUUUUGGAAUAAGGGCUGGGCAAGACCGGUGCCAGCCGCCGCGGUAACACCGGCAGCUCUAGUGGUAGCAGUUUUUAUUGGGCCUAAAGCGUCCGUAGCCGGUUUAAUAAGUCUCUGGUGAAAUCCUGUAGCUUAACUGUGGGAAUUGCUGGAGAUACUAUUAGACUUGAGACCGGGAGAGGUUAGAGGUACUCCCAGGGUAGAGGUGAAAUUCUGUAAUCCUGGGAGGACCGCCUGUUGCGAAGGCGUCUAACUGGAACGGUUCUGACGGUGAGGGACGAAAGUUAGGGGCGCGAACCGGAUUAGAUACCCGGGUAGUCCUAACUGUAAACGAUGCGGACUUGGUGUUGGGGUGGCUUUGAGCUGCUCCAGUGCCGAAGGGAAGCUGUUAAGUCCGCCGCCUGGGAAGUACGGUCGCAAGACUGAAACUUAA